rnacentral:rRNA from 1 species
AUUGAACGCUGGCGGCAGGCUUAACACAUGCAAGUCGAACGAGCGGCGGACGGGUGAGUAAUGUUUGGGAAUCUGGCUUAUGGAGGGGGAUAACUACGGGAAACUGUAGCUAAUACCGCGUACCAUAGGAUGAGCCCAAGUGGGAUUAGGUAGUUGGUGAGGUAAAGGCUCACCAAGCCGACGAUCGCUAGCUGGUCUGAGAGGAUGACCAGCACCAUUGGGAAUGAGACGCGGCCCAGACUCCUCCGGGAGGCAGCAGUGGGGAAUAUGGCGCAAGUGGCGCAACCUGGCGCGGCCAUGCCGCGGGAAUGAAGAAGGCCUUCGGGUUGUAAAGUUCUUUCGGUAGCGAGGCGUUAACUACAGAAGAAGCACCGGCUAACUCCGUGCCAGCAGCCGCGGUAAUAC